rnacentral:rRNA from 1 species
UGUGCCAGCAGCCGCGGUAAUACGUAGGUGGCAAGCGUUAUCCGGAAUUAUUGGGCGUAAAGCGCGCGUAGGCGGUUUUUUAAGUCUGAUGUGAAAGCCCACGGCUCAACCGUGGAGGGUCAUUGGAAACUGGAAAACUUGAGUGCAGAAGAGGAAAGUGGAAUUCCAUGUGUAGCGGUGAAAUGCGCAGAGAUAUGGAGGAACACCAGUGGCGAAGGCGACUUUCUGGUCUGUAACUGACGCUGAUGUGCGAAAGCGUGGGGAUCAAACAGGAUUAGAUACCCUGGUAGUCCACGCCGUAAACGAUGAGUGCUAAGUGUUAGGGGGUUUCCGCCCCUUAGUGCUGCAGCUAACGCAUAAGCACUCCG